UCCAGUAGCAAUACUGGUGAAGAUCUAGCGGCGAACAGGUGAGUAACACGUGAGAAACCUGCCCCGGACUCUGGGAUAACACGAGGAAACUCGUGCUAAUACCGGAUAUCUUCUUUUUGACCGCAUGGUCAGCUGAAGAAAGAUUUAUCGGUUUUGGGAGGGGUCUCGCGGCCUAUCAGCUAGUUGGCGGGGUAACGGCCCACCAAGGCAUCGACGGGUAGCUGGUCUGAGAGGACGAUCAGCCACACUGGGACUGAGACACGGCCCAGACUCC
rnacentral:rRNA from 1 species